CUGGUUCUUCUUGGAAUAAUGGGGGUAUCGGACUAGAAUUAUUUGAAAGUUUUAAAUUUCUAAAAUUCAAGGAAAAUGGUGACAAAUCCAAAUAGAAUCGAUCUCUAACAUCUUUUUUUUUAAUCACUUAUGGAAGAAACGUGUGAAGAACUUCCAUCCGGAAAUGAACGACUCGACAAGGAAAGUCAAACCAUUCAUCUUAUCUGAAUUACUUCUGCCUACCUUGAUAUACCUUCUCCCACUGCUUUUCCUCUCUGACAUUUUAAAUUGUCUUAAUUCUCUUUAACUUGACUUAUUUCCUUCAGCCAUAUAUCUGUCUGUUGAAUCUUUUUUCUAUGUUUGUGUUCUCGAUCUUUUGUUGGUUUCAUUUCCCCUGUAUUGUUUUCUACAUUCCAGAAAGGAAGAAAAAUUACAUCAUGACAUCCUCUGGCUACCCAAGGACAUAACAUUUUAGAUGCAGGCUGCCAAGGGAGGAAGAUGUGUGAGGCACUGCCAGCCAUGCCAGCCAGACAGUGGUGGAGUCUUUGAGGUGCAAGAAAGCCUGCACCUAGAACCAGUAUGGAAGCUCCAGGAUGCUCCUAUGUGCUGCUCUGUCAGUCUCGGAGGAAGAUCGCUGCUGGGAUUUAACCAUUUACAUCUUCAUUCCAGCCAGCAAGAAGAAGAAUAUACAGAGGUGAAUGUCCCCUUCUUUUAAGAAUCUUCCUAGAGAUCAGGCACUUCCAAGUCCAUUCCAUUCCUGGAACUUAGUCAUGUACCGGUUUACUAGCUGCAAAGGAAGCUGUAAUCUUUAUUUGGUGGCCACGUGCCCAGCUAGAAUCAGGAGUUCUACGACUAAGAAAAAAGGAGAGAAAUGACAACAAGAGACUGCCAGCAAUGACUACCACCCAUUCUAAUUCCGCAGCCCUUAUAAUAAUCAAUCAAGUCUAGUCUUUGAGACGUGCAGCUUGUGGGAGCUCCCUGAACCUUGUGUAAUGUAUGCAGGUCUCCAGAUGAUAGAGACACAAGGUUCUCCAAAUUUCUUUUAGAUCUUUGUUCUUUUCUUAAAUUUGAUUUAUAAUUCCAGUGGAUGCCCCAUUUUAGAAGACAAUCAGAGAUAUAGCUGUAUGUAAUUUUCUAGGAGGAUAAAAAUGCCAUCUGGAGAAUUUUAAUACGUUUGGCAUUUCUCUGAGGAAUAUGAAGUAUAAUAACUGCAUUGAAGUGGAUUUGUCAUCUAAUAGCCUUAAAUGAUCCCUCUCUUUCGGCUGCAUUUCCCUCCAUUAUUUACUAUGCCUCCCAAUAGCUUAUCAUCCACUGCUGUCUACUUUCCUCUUUGUCCUUAAUUUCCUAAGACAGAUUUCCACUUAAGAGACUGAGAAACUAUUAGAUGGAGAGUUUCCACAAACCACAGGAGCAUAAGGUCUUCUGCAAAGAGACACAUUCACCUACUAUGGGUUAAAGAGAGAAAGUUGCAUUACAUCUUCCACACUGACAAACCCAGAUGCUAUCAACGUGAAGAGGACAUAAUUGCAUUUGAAUUGAGGAAAUCUACAUGCAUAACUCUUAUUAACACAAAUACGAUAGAAGCUAAGUGUCUAAAUUCCUGUGCAGAGGAAAAAGAAGUAGCUAUAUUCCCAGUCUAAUGUAAAACAUGGCCUCCUAUAUUUGAGUUGGAAUUUUCAUAACUGUUUAGUAUUAGUCUGUGAGUUGUUCUAGGGACAGGCAAUAUCAAAGAAGAAAACAGUACUCAAUCUCCAUAAAACAUUUUAGCAACACUUAGAGAAGCAGACUACUCGAUAUUUAUUUUGGAAAUUAGCCAGCUAUCUACAAUAUGUUUUCAAAUUAUGCAUGCAUUGGUAGUAUUCCAUUGCAAUUGGCAAGGCCACUAUAUAUCUUUAUCUUUGCUAUAUUUGGAACACAGGAAAAUGUCAGUAUUUCCUUUCAUGGUAACAUUUUGGAGCUAACAAUAUUCACUAGUAUGAAAAGCAUUUUCUGAUCAAAAGAGUUGUUCUUAAAUAUGUGUUUGUUCCGUGGCUGGCCCAGUGGCAUAGUGGUUAACUUCACGUGCUCCACAUCGGUUGGGGGGGUUCGCCGGCUGGGAACCACUCAUCAAGCCAUGCUGUGUUGGCAUCCCACAUAGAAGAGCUAGAAGGACUUACAACUAGGAUAUACAACUAUGUACUGGGGCUUUGGAGGGAAAAAAAGGGGGGGAAGAUUGGCAACAGAUGUUAGCUCAGGGCCAAUAUUCCUCACAAAAAAAAGAAAAAAAUUAUGUGUUUGUUCAAAGAUUAUAUGACAUGUUGAAGAUUAUGUCUUUAUAGAUCUUUUCAUUUAAUUUGUAAUGACUUCAAAUGAUUAAAAAGAAUACAAAUGAAUUAUUUAACUUCUCAAAAGAAAAAUAAAAUAAUAUGACCAUGCCCUACAUAAUUUUGACAAAUUAUCCACCAGUGAUAAAUAAAUUACAUGGGUUGAUUAUUGAACCAAACACUACCAUCUAAGUCAUGUUGCUAUGCAUCACCAGGUGGCUUUUUAUUUACCUUGUCUGAAUGGAGUUCUAUACCUUCAAUCUCCUUAUAAGUCCCUGCUAAGACUCGAGAAAUUCUUGACGGAGGGUGUGGGAGGGGGUUGAGUUAGAAGCAUCAUGAGGACACAUAAGUGUUGGUAAGGUUUGGACAAAUUAUUACAGCAUAGGCAGCAAACUUGAAGCAUAUGGAAGCAACUAUCUUUAGUUUUGAACCUAAGAAUUAAGUGACUAAAUUUUAAACUUUUCACUUGUUUUUCAUCUAUAUUUAUUUCAUGUUAUUAGAUAUUUAUUAGAUUCAGAGACUCAUUUGCUCUGUGUGUACUUUGUUACUCAAGGCCAUACUUAUUUCAUCAUGAGAAACAUUUAUGCUAUGUCUACACUCAACACUAAUGCAUAUAUGACCCAAAACAUGUGGUUUGGCUGUGUCUGUGUAUACAUCUGACACAAGGUAUAAUGACAACAAAAAGAACAAAUACACAAAUAUAACGAUCAAUAAUUCCCAUCACCACCAUCUUAUAUUUAAGCAUGUACUCCUUGUGAGACUAAAUACUUUACACAGGAAUUUGGGGGGACAUAACUCCAUGGAGCACUUUUUUUUUUUUCGAGGAAGAUUAGCCCUGAGCUAACAUCUGCCAAUCCUCCUCUUUUUUGGUGAGGAAGACUGGCCCUGAGCUAACAUGCAUGCCCAUCUUCCUCUACUUUAUAUGUGGGAUGCCUACCAGAGCAUGGCCUGCCACGCGGUGCCAUGUCUGCACCGGGAUCAGAACCGGCAAAUCCCAGGCCGCCGAAGGGGAACAUGCGCACUUAACUGCUGCGCCACCAGGCCGGCCCUUUGGGGCACAUUUUUACCAAUGAAGAAACUAUGUCACAAGAGAGGUUAUGUUACAUACCAAAAGUAAAUGGCUAGUAAAAGAUACUGUCUAAAUUUGAAAGCAGUUUCAUAUUUGUUGAAGUACUUGAAUAAAUGAAUAAAUCAAUAAAUGAUUCUAAAGCUCACAUUUUUUUCCAUGUUGAUAGAUUCACAGCAUUUAUUUUCUAAAAGCCCAUGUUUCUUAACCAUUUACACUAACACAAUAAUUCUGAAUUUACCAAUCAGGUCCUGAUUAGGCAAUAAGGAGAAACCUGAGUAUAUAAAUACACUGGGUGUAUGUAUUCUGCAAAUCUUUUUGAAUUAGUAAAGUUAAGUGACUCAUUUGAAGGUCUCUAAUGAGAGUAGGGUCAUGGCUAGAACACAGAUAUUUCUGACUCCUUGUCCAAUGUAGUUCCCAUCCAGUGACACCUGUUACUUAGUGACAGCUACCAUCAUCUAGGAUACCUUAUAUCUAUAUAGAUAUAGAUAUGUUAUAUCUAUAUAUUGGGAGCAGUUAAAAAAUCAAAAGGCACAUCUUAUUUAUCACCUGCCAUCACAUAAGAUAAAUCCUGUUUUUUUUCCUAUACAUUGUACCCUCUGAUUCUACA
ensembl:lncRNA